AAAGAAAUAUUUCAAAAAAAGCUUCUAACUUUUUAUAAAGCAUUAACAUGUUUAU
rnacentral:tRNA from 1 species